CAGACAUAAAGACCUUUUUUUUAGAAACCAUGACAACAUGAAAAGUUUCAUCAAUGACUUUUCUGUCCAGAAAGGCACUAAUUAUGAAUGUUCCAAUUUUCAAGCAGGAGACAACAUUCGAUCCAAAAUCAAGAAUAGCAAACUGGAUGUCACAGGUGUCUUUGGUAGUGUUUGCAAACAUGAUAUUCUAUUCCAUUUUAUGGACCUGUCUCAUGGUGAAAGAAAAAUAAUUGUGAAGAAAUAUUAGAAAAGUGUACAUUUGCUAUUCCUGUCUUUCACAGCUUUGCACACAACAUGGCUUGUCAGUUGUCCUAUGGUCAACGGUUUGUUACAGGUGCAGGGUUGACAGAUGGUGAAGGCAUAGAGAGGCUGUGGUCUUAUCUAAGGGGAUUUAGAAAAAUCACAAAAGAAAUGUCACUCAAUAACAGACAAGAUCUUUUGACAGAGGCAAUGCUGCACCAUAGUGAAAAAACUAUAUAAGGAUUAGGGACAAGAAUGAUAACCAGACUUGAAAAAUGUGACACGAUCAUAGAGAACACAGAAAAAGUUGUUCAAGAUAUUCUAACAGAGUUAGAAGCAUCUGAAGACGCAGUAAGUGAUUGGCAGACAGAAUGGAAGUCACAAUGUCAUAUUAAAGGACGAAAAAAUGUUUUUCUGACAGUUGAUGUACAAUAUGCUGAGAGCUGAGACAACCUGGAAGAAAAGAAACAGCUUUUAAAAACUGCAGAUACAGUUAGUUCAAGAAAAGACCUUGAAAAGAACAUUGAAAGGUUAUCAAAGAUUUGUAAUAAUCUAAAAAGGAGGACAAGCUACAAAAUCAAUCUACAAGAGGAACCAGGAAUCACUCUUCUAUGUUCCAUUAAGAAAAAGAAGAAGCAUUUUAUUUUAAAGAAAUUGAAAGAUUUGGCAACAGAUAGACAGUAUUUGUCCAGUUGUAUGAAAAAAUAUGCAGAUGGUCAAGGCAUUGGACUACGCAUAAGCAUUCAGUUUUCUCAAAAUGCAAAUAAGAUUAAGAAAGAGCUAGUGAAUCUUAACCAAUGCCUGGGCAGUGAUCCAGUGAUCAUGCAAAGGAAGAGAAAAAAUCCAUAUGUGAAGAAGUCAUAAUUUGUUUCCAAUACUUAGUAAAGCAAAGCACGGAAAUACUUGAAUCUUUGUCAACUAUUGAGGCUGACCAAAGCCGUAUAGCUAAAGGAAAGCGUCAAUACCUUUAUUACAAACAUUUCAAUCUCGAACUCAUUGGAAAUAACUGUAAGGAUUUGUUUAAAAAUUAUAUUGAAUUUGACAUUCCUCAAACAGUUCAUGCUUUAUUAUCUGUUGAGCUUUUGAAACCAUCACAAUAUUUUGAAGACAUAACAUCGGAUGAACUCCAUUCAAUCCUUGAAGAAAUCAGAGAUUUAGAACAAUCACCAAUAGAAGAGGAUGAAACUAACGAUGAUAGUGACCUUGAAAUUGAUUAUGAUGUUGAAAAUUAUAUUGAUUAGAUAUUAUAAAAAAGAAGAUAUGGUAUAACUACCAAUGAGACAACUAUCCACAAAAGACCAAAAUGACAAACUUUAACAACUAUAGGUCACUGUACGGCCUUCAUCAAUGAGCAAAGCCCAUACCGCAUAGUCUGCUAUAAAAGGCUUCGAUAAGACAAUGUGAAACAAUUCAAACAAGAAAACUAACGGCCUCAUUUAUGUAAAAAAUGAACAAAAAACAAAUAUGUUACACAUAAUCAAACGACAACCACUGAAUUACAGGCUCCCGACUUGGGACAGGCACAUACAUAAAUAAUGUGGCGGGUUAAGCAUGUUAGCGGGAUCCCAAACCUCCCCAUAAACUAGGACAGUGGUAAUAACAGUACAACAUAAGAACGAACUAUAAGAAUAAUAAAUGUAUGAGAUUUGUUAGGAGACAUUACUAAAAUAAACUUAUUGCUUUAAGAUUUAAACUUUUAAGAAACACACAAGAGCAAUUAUCUCCCUUUGUUAAAAUCUGACAAGAAAAGUUUUCUACCUGUACAUCUUCAUUUUAAGUUGUUUUGAUGCCAGGCUUUAAAGAAGUUAAACUAAUUGUAAACAAUAAGGUGAUUUGUUUUACUAAAAUCCAUUUUAUUGCAAACCAAAUGAAAGCUUUCCACAGAGUCAUUUCUUGGUCAAGGUAUUUUUAUUUCUUCUGUUAAAUUGUCCCACCAUAGCUAUUGUUCUCUGUGUAGUUUAUUCAAAAUUUCUUCUGAGAAAUCUAUCUCUCAUUGAUCAAUUUACCUGAGUAAAAAAAUGAUCUUCUAAGUUAAGGAAAAUACUUGUAUCUUUAUUUGCAGAACUGCAUGUCAUGAUGAAUUAUAAAUGAUGUUAUAAUUCAUUGUAAAAAAUGUCUUUUUAAUCUGUUCAAUAUGACACUAAUUAAAUCAUAAAAAAAUGAUUUCUGACAAAAAAUUGAUCAUUGUUCCUAUUGAAAAUUGAGUUUUUUUGUUAACCUUUCAUAUAUAAUACAUUUAAGGUGGUACCUAACACUACAGGGAGAUAACUCUAUAAAAUCAGCUUAACGUCUAAAACUACGUUGUGUUUUAAAGGGAAUAAUAAGCUUCUCAAUGAUCAAAAUUGGUGUUUGUCAAACUACUAUAUAACCAGUGUAAUUUUUCUGAUGAAACAGUUGGUUCAAAACUUUUGAUUUUUUUAUAAUUUUGUUAAAGGGUUAAAGUAAAUACUUUGUCAAAAUUUUAUGAAAAUUAAACGAGCAACAUUUAUUUUAGUUAAAGUGUUGGGUACCACCUUUAGCAGACAUUUAUUUUAACAUUGUUAUGCAUUAGUUUUAAUUUGUAAUACAUGUACACACAAAAAGAAAAUUUUUAAUAGGAACAAGGUUUUGAUUUUUUUCAGAAAUCAAUUUUAAUUUUGAAUCAGUGCAUAUUAAACAGAUUGAAAAUGUAAUAUUUAUAUUAAAAAACAUAGGUCACAUGAAGUUCUGUGAGUAAUGAUUUUUGGUACUGAUACAUUUUUUUCAACAUUAAAAUUUAAAGUUAAAAGUAAAAAGAUAUAUUAUGAAGAUAUGCAUUGUUUGUAAAUUGCAUAAAAUAGAGUUUUCAAAUGAAUAUCUGCAUGGAGAAAAAUUUUCCUGUCUGAUGUCUUUAAGGGCAGAUAAUUUGAUUUAUAUUAUAUUCUGAACUUAGAAUAGACAGUUUUUCCUAUUAUUAUACUUCAACUCAAAAUAUCAGAUUUUGAUUGAAUUAUAGGAGUUUGAUACUUUUACUUUAUUCCAUAUUGAUAAAAUUUUAGUAGAUUUUUUCUAUAUGAAUGGGAUUUUGAAUGAAUAAGCAUUUUCUGUAUUACUAAAACAUUAUUACACCAGGGUUUAAGAUAUCAGAAACUAGUCAAAUUAUUUACUAAAUCAUUUUGUCAGUAUAAGGAAAUCAUUUGUAAAUAUAAAUAAACAUAAAUCAACAUGUA